UUAUAAACCAGAAAAAAUUCAAAUUUGAUUAAUUUUCUCUGAGUUUAUUUUCACCAAUUUUCUCUGGGUUUAUUUUGAUCAAAGUGUUGCAUCUCAACUUGCCCAACAAAAGGAGUUCAACCUGAAGAAACCUGCUUCAUAUCAUUAUGACCUCCUUCUUUUGGGCUUCUUGGUCAUAUUAUGUGGUCUUAUUGGUAUUCCUCUUGCCAACGGAGUUAUUCCCCAAUCUCCAAUGCAUACGAAAAGUUUGGCCACUCUGAAACAUCAGCUUCUACGGAAUAAACUUGUAU